rnacentral:lncRNA from 1 species
GAAUAAAAGCAGAGAAUUUAAAAGAUAAAAGUUUUGAAGAGUCAGCACAUCAGAGAGACAAUGAAGUGUGGUGGCAAGUACAAAUUUAAGUUCCCAAAGCUGCUAUGUGACAAGGGUGGCUUCCUGGAAGAAUGAUACUGGAGUUGAAUUUGAGAUGUUCCUUCUCUGUACCCCACAACACCCUGCACAGCUUCCCUCAUGCAUCGCUCCAUCAGUGUCUGCAUGAGUCAUGUCUUCCUUGGUGACCCUGCUUCCUGCAAACCCUGCAGCAGGUUGACAUUCUGGGACUGCUGCUCCUGGUGGUAAGCAUUGUUAAGCUUUCUGCUCUCCACCGUGCAUUGGGACUCCUCACCCGGAGGUGGU